AUGGCGUUUCCGUUCCUAAGACGGGCAAGUACUACAUGGACCCCGGCGGGGAGACGGUCAGCAUUGACUCUCUGUAAAAGCAAAAGCCUGUGGCGGGUUUUGAUGAGUACCAAGGAACUGAGGAGACCCACAGGCCAGAGGGCCAACAGGGAGCGCGGAGGAGUCCGGGUUAAGGAAGGCGCCAAUGCGGGGCUGCACCACGUGCGCGCGUCUUGGCGGUGGCACAGCGACCCGGGCUGGGGAGGCGCGCCGAGAUCGUCACCAGCCCUGUCCCGCGGGCACGCGCUUGGCCGGGCGCGAACGAGCGGCGGAAGGGAAAAGGAGUGGAGCGAGACCCGCGGUGGAGAAGAGAGACGCAGCCUGCGCAGGGAAGGAGCACACCGUAUGGAUGGGCCAGGCUGGGAAACGUGGCUGGAGAUUCGAGAGGAAACCAAGCACGCCGAGGCAGCCUCGGGCGGGCAGGUCCCGGCGCGAGCAGAGGGCACAAAGAGCCCGAGGGCUGCCGGCUCGCGGCUCCCGGGGAUGCAGUUCCUCCACGCAGCCCCCGGCCGGAGCGGAAACUUAAGGCUGGGGUCAAACUAACUCCGGCCCCGAGCUCGCGGGGGGCGGAGCAAGUUCCCGCCGGGACCGGUCGCGUCCCCAGCUUGUCCCCAUCUCCCGCAGCCCGCGCCCCGCACGCUCACUGUUGGGGCACAGCUGCCAGGCUUGUCUAUUUGUUUGUUUGUCGUUUAAAGUAAUCCUAGAGCGCGCACUCAGCAGCAUCUGAAGCGGGGGCGGGGGGAGGGGGCCGAAGCCUGAAUUUCCUUCCAGGGAGCGCGUGAGGGGCAUUCUCAACGGAAAGCCAGACCAAGAGUAGUGACCACCCCUCCUCGGAUUACUCUCCAUUGGCUCCUCCCUUGCUCCCCCUCCUCCAGAUUUGCAUAAAAAAGGCCAAGAAAACUCUGCCGGGGCCCCAGCAGCGGCUCACUCUGCUCCCCCGGGUCGGAGCCCCCCGGAGCUGCGCGCGUGCUUGCAGCGCGAAGCCGAGCGGAGAGCGCUUGGCCGCGCCGUCCUCCCCGCGCCCGGCGUCUCGGCGCUCCCGCCGCCCGCUUUCCAGGCCCCCGAGCCCCGCCGAGCGGAGCGAGCGGGCUCGGGCCGAG
rnacentral:lncRNA from 1 species